ACUAGGUGUGGCAGGUUGUGGCAGGUGAGCCGCGUGAAGACGAACCGAGGCGUCGGCAGAUGAAUGCUUUGCUUUGUGUGUAAGUGCCAGCAGUUACAGAUAGUGUUAGCGGAAUCUGGUUCUACGGCUCGGCCGCCAUCCGUCGCCUCUGGCAGCAGAAACAAGUGAAAGUCUGUUUUUAGACCUUCCGUUGCCUGUAACAAGCAGGUGAGAGGCGCCCUGAGCCCAGCGCAGACUUUGACCCCUGCUGGUAGACGUCCACCCGUUGACCAGGAUGUUGGUACCGAGGUGGUGAGGUCCAGAACUGACCUUGUCAAUGAAGCUGGCGAAGCGGUUGUUGAGGGUCUUGAUCUGCUCCUUCUCCUGGGUGCGGACGACCUGGAUCUGCGGGUCGAUCUCCAGGUUCAGAGGCGACAGCAGGCUCUGGUUGUACUGGACGGCUGU